UGUGCAUAAAUAAAGGAUCGGCUAUUGGGACGCACAUGUUGGUGAUAGUGUCGUAUGGUUGACCAAAGGGUGAUCAAUUACAGUCAGUAUAAGUCAUGUGAUUUGUUCUGAAUUUCAGUUCAAUGAUAGUUGAGUCCUGUUAUCGUAACUCAAGUUUAUUAUGUAGUAGAUACAGAAGCUCGUACUAGCAUAUACUUUUGCUGGUAUAUUACCAUCACAGUACUGCCAUAUUUUGAUCGGCAUUACUUGGUACAGUUGGGAAGAUGUACACAACUACAGGAAGCU